AGAGUUUGAUCCUGGCUCAGGAUGAACGCUGGCGGCGUGCCUAAUACAUGCAAGUCGAGCGAACGGACGAGAAGCUUGCUUCUCUGAUGUUAGCGGCGGACGGGUGAGUAACACGUGGAUAACCUACCUAUAAGACUGGGAUAACUUCGGGAAACCGGAGCUAAUACCGGAUAAUAUUUUGAACCGCAUGGUUCAAAAGUGAAAGACGGUCUUGCUGUCACUUAUAGAUGGAUCCGCGCUGCAUUAGCUAGUUGGUAAGGUAACGGCUUACCAAGGCAACGAUGCAUAGCCGACCUGAGAGGGUGAUCGGCCACACUGGAACUGAGACACGGUCCAGACUCCUACGGGAGGCAGCAGUAGGGAAUCUUCCGCAAUGGGCGAAAGCCUGACGGAGCAACGCCGCGUGAGUGAUGAAGGUCUUCGGAUCGUAAAACUCUGUUAUUAGGGAAGAACAUAUGUGUAAGUAACUGUGCACAUCUUGACGGUACCUAAUCAGAAAGCCACGGCUAACUACGUGCCAGCAGCCGCGGUAAUACGUAGGUGGCAAGCGUUAUCCGGAAUUAUUGGGCGUAAAGCGCGCGUAGGCGGUUUUUUAAGUCUGAUGUGAAAGCCCACGGCUCAACCGUGGAGGGUCAUUGGAAACUGGAAAACUUGAGUGCAGAAGAGGAAAGUGGAAUUCCAUGUGUAGCGGUGAAAUGCGCAGAGAUAUGGAGGAACACCAGUGGCGAAGGCGACUUUCUGGUCUGUAACUGACGCUGAUGUGCGAAAGCGUGGGGAUCAAACAGGAUUAGAUACCCUGGUAGUCCACGCCGUAAACGAUGAGUGCUAAGUGUUAGGGGGUUUCCGCCCCUUAGUGCUGCAGCUAACGCAUUAAGCACUCCGCCUGGGGAGUACGACCGCAAGGUUGAAACUCAAAGGAAUUGACGGGGACCCGCACAAGCGGUGGAGCAUGUGGUUUAAUUCGAAGCAACGCGAAGAACCUUACCAAAUCUUGACAUCCUUUGACAACUCUAGAGAUAGAGCCUUCCCCUUCGGGGGACAAAGUGACAGGUGGUGCAUGGUUGUCGUCAGCUCGUGUCGUGAGAUGUUGGGUUAAGUCCCGCAACGAGCGCAACCCUUAAGCUUAGUUGCCAUCAUUAAGUUGGGCACUCUAAGUUGACUGCCGGUGACAAACCGGAGGAAGGUGGGGAUGACGUCAAAUCAUCAUGCCCCUUAUGAUUUGGGCUACACACGUGCUACAAUGGACAAUACAAAGGGCAGCGAAACCGCGAGGUCAAGCAAAUCCCAUAAAGUUGUUCUCAGUUCGGAUUGUAGUCUGCAACUCGACUACAUGAAGCUGGAAUCGCUAGUAAUCGUAGAUCAGCAUGCUACGGUGAAUACGUUCCCGGGUCUUGUACACACCGCCCGUCACACCACGAGAGUUUGUAACACCCGAAGCCGGUGGAGUAACCUUUUAGGAGCUAGCCGUC
rnacentral:rRNA from 1 species